AUGGAAGGCUUGGAAUUCCUUGGGAUUCCUUGGGAUGGAUUCCUUGGGAUUUUUCAGGAUGGAUUCCUCAGGAUGGAUUCCUCAGGAUUUGUCAGGAUUCCUUGGGAUGGAUCCCUCAGGAUUUGUCAGGAUUCCUUGGGACGGAUUCCUCAGGAUUUGCCAGGAUUCCUUGGGAUGGAUCCCUCAGGAUUUGUCAGGAUUCCUUGGGAUGGAUCCCUCAGGAUUCUUCGGGAGUCUUUGGGAUGGAUUCCUUGGGACGGAUUUCUCGGGAUUUGUCAGGAUUCCUUGGGAUGGAUUCCUUCGCAUUCCUCGGGAUGGAUUCCUCAGGAUUUGUCAGGAUUCCUUAGGAAGGAUUCCUCAGGAUUUCUCGGGAUGGAUACCUUGGGAUGGAUCCCUCAGGAUUUGUCCGGAUUGCUUGGGAGGAUUCCUCCGGAUUCUUUGGGAUGGAUUCCUCAGGGUUCCUUGAGAUUCCUUGGGAGAGAUUCCUCGGGAUUCCUCAGGAGUCUUUGGGAUGGAUUCCUCGGGAUGGAUUCCUCAGGAUCCCUCAGGAUGGAUUCCUCAGGACGGAUUCCUCAGGACGGAUUCCUCGGGAUGGAUUCUCCAGAAUGGAUCCCUCAGGAUGGAUU
rnacentral:lncRNA from 1 species